rnacentral:rRNA from 1 species
AAUAGAUACCCCGGUAGUCCACGCCGUAAACGAUGAGUGCUAGGUGUUGGGGGCUUUGAGCCCUCAGUGCCGAAGGAAACCCAUUAAGCACUCCGCCUGGGGAGUACGGCCGCAAGGCUGAAACUCAAAGGAAUUGACGGGGGCCCGCACAAGCGGUGGAGCAUGUGGUUUAAUUCGAAGCAACGCGAAGAACCUUACCAGGGCUUGACAUCCCGCUGACCGCUCUAGAGAUAGAGCUUCCCUUCGGGGCAGCGGUGACAGGUGGUGCAUGGUUGUCGUCAGCUCGUGUCGUGAGAUGUUGGGUUCAGUCCCGCAACGAGCGCAACCCUUAUCGUUAGUUGCCAGCACUUCGGGUGGGCACUCUAACGAGACAGCCGGUGAAAGCCGGAGGAAGGUGGGGAUGACGUCAAAUCAUCAUGCCCCUUAUGUCCUGGGCUACACACGUGCUACAAUGGUCGGUACAAAGGGCAGCAAACCCGCGAGGGGAGCCAAUCCCAUAAAGCCGAUCUCAGUUCGGAUCGCAGG